UACGUAGGCAGCGAGCGUUGUUCGGAGUUACUGGGCGUAAAGGGUGUGUAGGCGGUUGUUUAAGUUUGGUGUGAAAUCUCCCGGCUCAACUGGGAGGGUGCGCCGAAUACUGAAUGACUUGGAGUGUGGGAGAGGUGAGUGGAAUUCCUGGUGUAGCGGUGAAAUGCGUAGAUAUCAGGAGGAACACCGGUGGCGAAGGCGGCAUACUGGACCACUUCUGACGCUGAGGAGCGAAAGCUAGGGGAGCAAACGGG
rnacentral:rRNA from 1 species